CUGGAGGACCUGCUCCUAUACUUCGUUCAGUCAACGAAGUGUCCGCAAAAACAUGGCGGAUUUUGAGUGAAAAUGACGCCAUUUCCAUGACUACUGGUCCCUAAAUUCAUGGUAAUUGCCACUGAACAAGGCUCAAAUAUGAGCCCGCCACAGUUUUCACCCCCCCUGGUUUUUAUAAAAAUAUUUCGACUUUUUGCAGUGAAUACUUGUUGUUUUGAUAUUUUCGACAUAUUUUUUUCGACUGUUGACCAUUUGUUCAAAGGUGUGGAAGCCGUACACGUUCAUUGUCGUCCGUGGAGCGUGAAAGACAACAAACAACUAUUAAAACCUCGCGAAAGCCGAAAUGUGGACAAAAACGAUACUUCAAGCCAGAGCAAACAUCCGUAAUUAUCAGACUAUAAACAGGUAUCUAUAAAUAUUUCAAAAUUCACAUUACUAUUUUAAAUAUUUCAUGAAAAAAUGUUAGGAAUAAAUGGUAGAAUGUACUCUAUUUUUUAGAAAACAAGCCACGAGUAUUUAUGUGGUUGUAGACGAACCUUUUUAUAACUUUAAAAUAUAAUAAUUUCAUCCCUCAAUCCCAAGGAAUUAAUGGUUGUGCAUGUAUAUGAAUUUGACAAAUAUUUGACAUGAAACUAUGAUGUGCUAGUAUAUUAAAGAGGGAAGUAAGGUUUUAUAUAUAGAUUUAGCCAAGGUCGGGUUUUGUCAUGCAUAAGCUUGUGGUGAACUGGUGCAGGACAAAGCUCAGGCUGCUCAGCUGAUUUGAGAAAUUAAUGCAUGUUUUGCCCAAGUUUGUAUAUUGUGUGCUCUCUGAUAGUUUGUUGUAUGUAUCUUUAAAAGGCCAUCCAUUAACUUGUUUGUCCCAUCUCUUAUGAGUAUUGGGUUAAUUGAUUCAAGUGCUAGCAUAUUUUUGGUAAGGGUUGUUAUAAUGCGACAGCUAGGCCAGUAAGCAAGACCUCACUGUGUGGUUAUUUUUAUAGUGGAAAUUCCUUUCAAAUUGUAUGGACAACCUGACUGGCUCAGUUUUCAGAUCUCACCUGAACAAGGCAAGCUCUCAGUUACACCAGGAAGGCGGGAACACUAACUGGACUGACUUGUUCAAAAUAAAGUCAAAACAACAUCGGUCAUGAAAAUAUUGUCAAAACAAUAGGCCAACCUGGCUUCCAUAUUCAUAGCCCCUAUGGCACUAUAAUCUAUUCUGAGCCUCCUCCACAGGCAUGGGCGUACCGGGCAGGGGGCGAGGGUGGAAGCAGCCCCCCAGUUUGUUGAACAAACAAAGCCAGUCGGGCAAUAUUCGCUUC